UGGGGAAUAUUGCACAAUGGGGGAAACCCUGAUGCAGCGACGCCGCGUGAGCGAAGAAGGCUUUCGAGUCGUAAAGCUCUGUCCUAUGAGAAGAUAAUGACGGUAUCAUAGGAGGAAGCCCUGGCUAAAUACGUGCCAGCAGCCGCGGUAAUACGUAUGGGGCGAGCGUUGUCCGGAAUUAUUGGGCGUAAAGGGUACGUAGGCGGUUUUUUAAGUCAGGUGUCAAAGCGUGGAGCUUAACUCCAUUAAGCACUUGAAACUGAAAGACUUGAGUGAAGGAGAGGAAAGUGGAAUUCCUAGUGUAGCGGUGAAAUGCGUAGAUAUUAGGAGGAAUACCGGUGGCGAAGGCGACUUUCUGGGCUUUUACUGACGCUCAGGUACGAAAGCGUGGGGAGCAAACAGG
rnacentral:rRNA from 1 species